UACGUAGGGUGCAAGCGUUGUCCGGAAUUAUUGGGCGUAAAGAGCUCGUAGGCGGUUUGUUGCGUCGGCUGUGAAAACCCGGGGCUCAACUCCGGGCCUGCAGCCGAUACGGGCAGACUAGAGUUCGGCAGGGGAGACUGGAAUUCCUGGUGUAGCGGUGAAAUGCGCAGAUAUCAGGAGGAACACCGGUGGCGAAGGCGGUUCUCUGGGCAUUACCUGACGCUGAGGAGCGAAAGUGUGGGGAGCGAACAGG
rnacentral:rRNA from 1 species